GCCUCGGUAGCUCAGCCUGGUAGAGCGAACGCCUCGUAAGCGUUAGGUCGCGAGAUCGAAUCUCGCUCGAGGCU
rnacentral:tRNA from 1 species